rnacentral:misc_RNA from 1 species
ACAGAAGAUGCACUACGAACUGAUCGCAGGAUCCGAGAUUUGCACCCAAGCUCCCCAGAAUACCGUGAGAUAUCACUUCACUACGUCGGCGAUCGCAGCAUCUGAAGCGCAAGUGUCAUCCAUGAUCAAACAAACCUCAACAGCGAAAUGCAGAUCGACCUCGAGCGCUUGGCGGGGCGCUCCACCUGGUUGUUGCAGCCUCGUGUUGCCACCCAAGGAUAACUGGGACGAAUCUAAGGGAUUCUUGGUGCGUCGAUGGAAGCGAAUAAAGCGCUAGUGGUGGCAGAAAGAGCUCAGUGUGGUGGCGAUAUCGGAUGACAAGUCACGGCGAGCGAGAGAGAGCGUCUGUGUCGCUUCCGCUUGUCCAAGCUCGUCGUCGUCUUGUUGGCCUCGGACGGACCCAAGUCACGUCUCCAGUGGACGGUUGCAAGGAGACGUCUUCCUGAACUGCCAAUUGCGCGACUAGGCUCCGCUGAACAGAGCCUUCCAGAGAAAGACAGACUCCUGCCACGUAAGCGAGCAUGCUAGCCUCCUCAGGCGUCUAUUCGAUGAUAUCGAUCUGUAAGCACUUUGUGCCAUCCCAGGCCAGAGUCGAGCACCGAGACUCUGCCUCGCUGCUCAGCGUAGACGAAGCGGAGCACCACGUGGUGAGCGAAGAUUCCACGUCUAUGAGCAUCGUAACCGCCGUCGUGCCCCUGACUCAAGAGAAUGGAGCCAAAAAAACUAAGCAGAAACCAGAUGAAGCUGCUGAAGAUUGCGCGGGCCUUUUCGUAUCUCGGGUCGGGAGCAGGAACGCAAGCAGGCGCAUCCGCAAGUGGAACGACGGCACCUGGACCCUUUUCAACGCGCUGAUCAUCGUAUCGAGCUGACAGAGUGCGUCCAAAGCUUCAUUCAGAGCAAAUAGGAGCGCCUAAUCCCUCAUGUGGACGACUUUUCGCAGGAAUGCAUGCGCUCGCGCUGAGGUCACCAACGGUUUCGGGUGUACAAUGAUCAAAAGUGGGCAUUCGCUGACUUGCUGGAUUCGUCGGAACAUAAAAUGACCGGGCAUCCGAGCGGUUUCGUAGUACCCCAAGGAGCCGGACGUGCUGUAACGCGCGCAGACCGCGCUCUCGCUCCUUUGGCUAGAGCGUAGAACGAGUUCAGGAAUCGAUUCUGCACGAUUCCAGCGGAUGCAUUCAAGUCGGUGUGCACGAAGAAUGAGCUCGGGUGAACGCUUUAACAUCCAGAGACGAAGGGCAUGAGGCGAAGACGGACGCAUGCGGUGCUGUAUUGUAAGAGACUGAACGUCAGAUGGCGAUGAAUUCGAAGGUAAGCGAAUGCCCAUGGGGUACUUCCACUAGCAACGAUACGAGCUGGCGCUUUCCCCACUGCGACUUCAACGUUUCAAUCAAGAAGCGGAGAUGCUUCGUGCUUCCGGAGCGCCCCAGUGGCUCUGUGUCGGCGAAGUUUCGACGAACUUGUUUCGUACUCAGAAUAGGCAUUGUGCUGGAAUGCUGACGACUUGCGGUGCAGAGUAUCUGUGACCAGGAGCUCGAGCAUUGGAUUUUCGCCUGGAUUACGCUAUUUGUUCGGUGCGGAUGGCAAACUAUAAAGGCUGGAGCGCCCUCUGGACACAUAUUGGGAACGAUUUCGGUGCACAGUCUGCGAGCAAUAAGGGUGUUCCAUUGUUUGAGAAACCUGCGUACACAGUUCGGAAAGAAUUCAAGCUUGUCGCGUUGUUUAGAACCCUGCUCAACGACUUGCCGAAAAUGGAGUACCUCUGCAGGCCUGCAGUAGCUGCCUUCUAGAUACGAAUGGUAUGGGUGCCUCGGAGUCUCCGAAAAAGGGCCUCAAACUGCCAGCCGCGUCGCUGUUUUCGCUAUGGGACGUACGAGUGGGACACUCUCACCGCUUCUUUCGCCUCAAUUCAUUUUGAUGUCGCAAGGCAUCUGAGGACACAUCGCACGCCGAAAUCGCUACGCGCGGAUAACAGAUACAUCGUCACGCUGCAAUCCUGGAGAAAACAUAUUGAUCAAAUUCUUUCUGAAUGAUGGCUCACGACACAUCUGCAGCAGCGUCUAGUCAUGGGCCCGUAACCAACCAUGAGCCUGUACAUGGCUAUCGUCCAUGGCUGCGCACCCUAGCUGGUGGCGUCCAGGGUCUAUAAGUCUCAGCGAUCGCUCCUGAGCCGCCGCUAGCGCCAUAUUCCGCAGCGAGGCUCAUUUCGCUGCAUAGAGACGAUUCCGAAGCUAAGUGCGCCAAACUAAAUGCCCCUACAUGCAAAGUAGUUACGACGAAAAAGAAUAUAUGCACAGAACGGCUGAACCAUUCCUGCUUCCGAGUUCGCGCAGUAUCUUUGCGUGGGAAUCGACUCGCUGCCGCAAGGGCAAGGGUUUCCCGUCGUUUGAGGCAAAAGACAAAGUCCAGAGAACGUUCUGGACUAGAUAUGUAGAGAUUUACUCCGUGCACACAAGGAGGCGGAACAAAAUCUGCGGAGACCAGGCACGAGAGCCAAUGUGCUCUCGAAUAUGCGUCCAUAGAAGAAUCUGAGCUUCCAGUGAUCAUGCAGCGAUCAUGUGUCACAAAAAAUUCAUUGAAACACGGGCACCGCUGUAUUCGAUUUGCAAUGCUCUCGGGGUACCUGGUAAGCCUGGAGAAGUCGAACGUAGCGAGGUUCCCUCAGAGAACAUAGAGACAUCUUCGAGCAUACUGUGGCUCCUUUAAAGAGUGCAGCUAC